rnacentral:rRNA from 1 species
GAUGAACGCUGGCGGCGUGCCUAAUACAUGCAAGUCGAGCGAACAGACGAGGAGCUUGCUCCGCUGACGUUAGCGGCGGACGGGUGAGUAACACGUGGCUAACCUACCUAUCAGACUUGGAUAACUUCGGGAAACCGGAGCUAAUACCGGAUAAUAUAUUGAACCGCAUGGUUCAAUAGUGAAAGACGGGUUUGCUGUCACUUAUAGAUGGAUCCGCGCCGCAUUAGCUAGUUGGUAAGGUAACGGCUUACCAAGGCAACGAUGCGUAGCCGACCUGAGAGGGUGAUAGGCCACACUGGAACUGAGACACGGUCCAGACUCCUACGGGAGGCAGCAGUAGGGAAUCUUCCGCAAUGGGCGAAAGCCUGACGGAGCAACGCCGAGUGAGUGAUGAAGGUCCUCGGAUCGUAAAAACCUGUUAUUAGGGAAGAACAAAUGUGUAAGUAACUAUGCACGUCUUGACGGUACCUAAUCAGAAAGCCACGGCUAACUACGUG